ACACGACUACAUUAGAUACCCCGGUAGUCCCAGCCGUAAACUAUGCGCGUUAGGUGUAUCGGUGACCACGAGUUACCGAGGUGCCGAAGGGAAACCGUGAAACGUGCCGCCUGGGAAGUACGGUCGCAAGGCUGAAACUUAAAGGAAUUGGCGGGGAGCACCACAACAGGUGGAGCCUGCGGUUUAAUUGGACUCAACGCCGGGAAGCUCACCGGAUAGGACAGCAGAAUGAUUGCCGGGCUGAAGACCCUGCAUGACUAGCUG
rnacentral:rRNA from 1 species